GAUGAACGCUGGCGUCUGCUUAACACAUGCAAGUCGAACGGGUGUAGAAAUACAUUAGUGGCGGACGGGUGAGUAACGCGUGAGAAUCUGGCUUCAGGUUCGGGACAACCACUGGAAACGGUGGCUAAUACCGGAUGUGCCGAAAGGUAAAAGGUUUACUGCCUGAAGAUGAGCUCGCGUCUGAUUAGCUAGUUGGUGUGGUAAGAGCGCACCAAGGCGACGAUCAGUAGCUGGUCCGAGAGGAUGAUCAGCCACACUGGGACUGAGACACGGCCCAGACUCCUACGGGAGGCAGCAGUGGGGAAUUUUCCGCAAUGGGCGAAAGCCUGACGGAGCAAGACCGCGUGAGGGAGGAAGGCUCUUGGGUCGUAAACCUCUUUUCUAUGGGAAUAAGCAAGUGAAGGUACCAUAGGAAUCAGCAUCGGCUAACUCCGUGCCAGCAGCCGCGGUAAUACGGAGGAUGCAAGCGUUAUCCGGAAUGAUUGGGCGUAAAGAGUCCGUAGGUGGUGAUUCAAGUCGAUUGUUAAAGAGCGGGGCUUAACCCCGUAGCAGCAGUGGAAACUGAAUCACUAGAGAGAGGUAGGGGUAGAGGGAAUUCCCGGUGUAGCGGUGAAAUGCGUAGAGAUCGGGAAGAACACCAGUGGCGAAAGCGCUCUACUGGGCCUCAUCUGACACUGAGGGACGAAAGCUAGGGGAGCGAAAGGGAUUAGAUACCCCUGUAGUCCUAGCCGUAAACGAUGGAUACUAGGUGUUGUCUGUAUCGACCCGGACAGUGCCGUAGCUAACGCGUUAAGUAUCCCGCCUGGGGAGUACGCACGCAAGUGUG
rnacentral:rRNA from 1 species